CAAUGGUUCAUUGUUCAGCCAGACAAUGACCCUUAGCACACAGCCAAAAUAUUAAAGAAGUGGCUUCAGGACAUCUCUGUGAAUGUCCUUGAGUGGCCCAGCCAGACCCCAGACCUGAAUCCAAUUGGACAUCUCUGGAGAGCUCUAAAAAGGCCUGUGUACCAAUGCUCCCCAUCCAAUUUGAUGAAGCUUGAGAGGUGUGGCAAAGAGGAAUGUGCAAAACUGCCCAAAGAUAGGUGUGUCACGUUUAUGACAUCAUAUUCAAGAAGACUUGAGGCUGUAAUUGCUGCCAAAAGUGCAUCAACAACAUACUGAGCAAAGGUUGUGAUUGAAAAAUAAUGCUUAUGUAGAUGUGAUGA